CGCGAAAAUAGAAUGCUAAACAGUUUAGUACAGUCACUCAUAUGUCCCUUUUGCAAGACACGAAAUUGUAUAUACAGCGUCAGCAGCUUCAUUUUCUUUCUCGCGGUCCGAGUUAGACAGACGUGUCUUUGAUACUGAACGCUGCCAGUUACUGAUCAAUGGCAGGGAUAAUAUAGAAGUAACUGGAAUAUUGAUAUAUGGACGCAACGACGAUUAAUGAUCAAUCCGAUGAAUUUUCAUGGAAAUUUGAUACACCUUCAACUUGUUCGUCUUCUUUGGGACUGAUUGAACGGUGGCUCAAAAGCCAAGAAUGCUUUUCAGAACCUCUAUUUCCACCGUUGGAUUUUUAACGGUUCCUGCAUGAUAUUAGUUUCCCUGAUGAUAUCCGCUGGGAUAGCGGAGCAUCCAUGGUAACGUUCUCUGGUUCUCUGCUUCGAACGGCGAGUCGCAUGCAUUUCUGUUCCUCCGGUCACUCAAUCAUGUCGUAGGAUGAAAGGUCCGAAUCGGCACACAUGACUGGUUGUAUUACGUAGAAUUUUUUGCGAGCAUAGUAAUCGCGGGUAUUUUUUAUACCCGUGAGUAGUAACAUUCUUUUUUCAAAUUUAUUAGGAUAGGUCUUCUUGCACAUCGCGAUUAUAAUAAUUAGUUUUUUAAUAGUUGAUUUAAGCAUACACAUUUGAAAAUAAAUUCAUGGUACUUGUAAAUAUGUAUAUUAGUAUUGAGUGAGAAUAUUUGAAAAGGCAAAUAUCUACACGAAUAUGUCUGUAUGACACAAGUAUAGUCGAUCUUAAGCAGUGAAUUUUAGUAUAAACAAGAGAUAUCGAAGUGAUCUCGUUUGAGCAUUUUGUAGUGGAGAAAUCGGUUACCCUCCGAUUUCGUUGCUAUGAAAGCUGCAAUUGUCACUCAAGGAUAAUGACGAUACAGGCAAUAUACGAUACAAUAAAUAAUGUUGAAUUUAAUUUUCUCUUUCAUGACAAUAUUAAGUCACAUUCGUUUAUUUGACUUCAGAUAGAGUUUAAAAUAUGAGUUAAAAUUCAUUUUUUUCGUGCAAGAAUGUGUAAAGUUUUAUGUGCAAGAAGAAACUUCACGUUAGGCAGAUUUUUGACUCGAAGCAAUAAUUUUGAACGCUACUUCUGUAUUUUUGAAAAAGUGCUUUGAGGAAGAGAUCGCCUGAGAUUAUUUCUAUCUUAGUAAUACAUUUAGAUUUAACCAUUUUAACAAUUAUUCCAUUUUAUCGAGUCUUGGUCUUUUUUCAAUUAAUGCUACUUUUUUUGUAAUAUUAAAAUUUCAGUGAUUUAUUAAAUUAACAAGGUAGGAUUAUUAUAAUCUGAAACUAAGUAAUAAAAUAUAAAAGCAGAGAGUAUUAGUCCGUUAAAUAUAAAUUGGACAAACUAAUCAUAUUUUUAGAUCAGGAUUUUCAGAUUUAACUCUUUUUGUGCCCAUUGUCAGGAUCUUAUUCACGUGCCCAGGUGCUACUUGAAUGGGAGAAAGACAUUGGGCACGAUGACCAUAAUUAAUGUAAAAAUUUCUCAGCGACUGACGAUAUGUUACUGUAUCGUGCACGACGUAUAUUCCACAUUGUGUGUGUACGUGUGUGUGGUUAGGCUGUGGAAUUGCGUCGUUUUUUUCAUUCGCUACAACUUAGAAUAUUAAAAAUGUUGAGACAUAUAUUAAUUCAAUGUAUGUAUCAAUAAAAUCACAAUUUGCGAUAAUAUCACGUACACGACUAA